GUCGAGCGGACCUGUAAUUACGACCUGACCGCUGUAAUUGUGUUUGAGCGGCGGAGGAACUGAGUUAGACAACAAGUGGAACAAAUUUGGUAACAACCUGCAUGAAGAGCAGCACUCUAGCAUGUGAGGCCUCGUUUAUUGAGCACGUUUCCUCAGCUGACCGAUCAAUGGAUCUGCUUAAAAGCGCGUGUUGGCGGCGCUCAGGCUUGAUGGCGUUUUAAUUUCUGCAAGUCAGACACACUCUACCAACAACGCAGGCCUCUCCUCUCCUCUGCACUCCUCCCCGCCCCUGCCCCCAACCCCAGACCAGAGCCGCUGACCUCGCAGGACACGCACACAAACACACACACGCUGC
ensembl:lncRNA